UAAGUAUUUCUAGUAGAUGCUCCUCAUCAAUGAAGGCACUACCAGUUCUUAUACAUUACGUUCUUAUACAGUUUCUUAUACAUGUACGUGUGCCUCUGUUCCAUCAUUUUCGCCAGUACCAUUUGUGUAUCGUUCUUCCCGUCGUCCGACUUGCUACUCAAUUUCACCAAGCUGUUCGAUGCCAUACAUUGUUCGUUAUUGUCCAUGACUUUGUCCGUUUAAACUUAAUUAAACAGGCAUUGCGUUCAGUAAAAAGCCUGCAAGACGCAAAUCGCUUACAACCGUAACACAAGCACUCUAUGUGUGCACCUGCAAAACAAGCAUGCCCAAGAGCUGCUGGAGCUGGAGUCGUCGAACUCACCUUGCAGGCAGAUCGUCUCGCAGGAUCACAAGGAGUGCAAGGCACAGAAGAGAUUGCAUCGAAGAGAUCAUGUCCGAACUGGCACUGACGUUCGAAGAAUGGAAAUCAAACGACACCAACAGUUACGUUACCAUAUAUCGGCUUAUUAUCUGAAUAUCGAGGAAGCUAAAUUGAAACGUAAGAUUUUGACCACUGUUUACACACCAUCGGAUUGGAAGGAGGUACACUGAAACAAUAUGAUAAAUAUUCUGCUACGUGAGUGGGACCUAACAAUCGAGAAGAUAAAUGCGGUGGUUGUCAGCAGUUCAAGAACGGCAUUAAUCAAGGCGUUGACUAAUCGCAGCUUGACUAUUGUGCCCUGCUUGCUCCGUACUCUACAAGUAUGCGCGCAAGCUUGCUUCGAUAAUCCAGAUGUGGCUCACAUAUUGUCCAAAUGUAGAUCAGUGAUUGGAACCAUUAUAAGUCAUCCAGGAACAUAUGCAGCACUGUCCAUGCAGGAACAAUCGUCAGCGUUGAAAGAAGAUGCUAUGUUGCUGGAUUAUCCUGGCGUAUGGACCUCUACGCACAACAUGCUGGAACAAAUAGUGCUACAUCGCAGUAUUAUCACAACUAUAUUAGAAAACGGAAGGAAUAGAUCAAGAACUGGUCGAGAUUACCAACGACCAGUGGAAAGUUAUCGAGGCGACGCGCGUUUUCUUUCUCCAAUUUGGCGUAUAUCGAGUUCACGCCGAAUUAGUUAGCAGAAAUCAAGCGCUCGAUAAUCGACGAUCGGCGACUCGUCUCCCCCCGUACGGAACAGAGAGUUCGCCCCCUCGCGAAUUAUUUAUACGACUUCCGCUCGGAUUCCGACGAUUGUCUGACGCGCUGAAUGGGAAUUGCCAAUCGACGGGAAGGAACGACGGCGUGCGUCCCCGAUGUCGCGAUUCGAUUACCGACCAAUAACUCGUACGUGUCGUCGGAUUUCCCGGGUUUCCGGGGUGCAACGCGCCCAAUUUCAUACCAGAAUUCAGCAACGGUGUGCACUCGCGAAACCGCUCCGCGGCUGCUCCUCGUACUCCUAUUUACAGCAACCGGUAUUAACGUUACAAUUUCAAAACUAAUUACGAUCGGCGAAAACGGACACGAUGGCAACUGAGCGAGCGACGAACGCGGACGGAUGGUUCUUCAGAAAAUUAAACUACGGCGCGUCGCCUCGCAUAAUUAAGAAAUCCGUUCACAUCGCCUUUCAAGAUCGAGCGGCGCAACCGAGGUAUGAUAAGGUAGCAGGCUCAUGGCAGAAAGAGAAAAAGACCGUGGAGAACGGCCGAAACGGUAAGAACCGUAAUUAAAUCGGAGCGAAAUCCCGCGGAAUAAUUAAUUGGAGAGCUUCUAAAGUAUACCGGGCGCGUCGGUGGACGCGUAACGUCGUUAGCCAAGGGCCUUUCGAGGGUCGUAAACCCCGCAGGCGGCCCUUUGGCGACUCGGCCACCUUCCCCUCUUCAUUUUGAAGAGGGGACACGCUAAGAGCGAAAUGAAAGAAGAAAGGGUGCCAGUUUUGCUUUCAGUUCUCCGGAAAACAAAAUUAUUCCGAGCUCGUAUCCGAGAACCUUCCUGAUUGUUUAUUCGCUCUAUCGUAUCUUGCGUUUUACCCCACGGAAUUGUACCGUAAAUUUCCUGUCUGCCGCCACUCCUUCUAUCGUUGGAUUGAUUAUAAAUGUGUUAGAUGUAAUUUAACGUUUCAUUUAAGCGCUUUAAUUAUGCGUAGGCACGUAAUGAUUAAAUUCGAUACAUGUAUUUUCGUGUAUGUGAAAUAAUUAUAAGCUGCAGAUAUUUGAUAUUCAAUUUAAUUUAGCAAUUUCGUAAUGCGUGAUAUUUAUUAUGAAAGAAAUUCCAUUCGCCUCAUUUAUUAUACUCUGCUCUCGUUUCGCAACAUGUAGAAACAUUAUUACAUUUUGCGUAUCUAUGUAUAUUUUAUAAAAUAAAUAGCUAAUACAUGAAUAUUAAUAUAUGGU